rnacentral:rRNA from 1 species
AGAUGGCGACCGGCGCACGGGUGAGUAACACGUAUCCAACCUGCCGAUAACUCGGGGAUAGCCUUUCGGAAGAAAGAUUAAUACCCGAUGGCAUAAUUAGACCGCAUGGUCUUAUUAUUAAAGAAUUUCGGUUAUCGAUGGGGAUGCGUUCCAUUAGGCAGUUGGUGAGGUAACGGCUCACCAAACCUUCGAUGGAUAGGGGUUCUGAGAGGAAGGUCCCCCACAUUGGAACUGAGACACGGUCCAA